AUUUGUAAGUAAUUUAUGCUCUCUUUGUAGGGUUGCCCAGGAAGGCAAAGAAUGCCGAAGGAGGUGGCUGAAAGGAGAAAACAACGACUAUCAGAAGAUCAUGAAAAUGUUGAACAUGAAACAGAACCAGAACAACAUGAGUAGGGUCUUGAUACACCUGAUAUGCUUCCAAAUGAUAUUGUCAAUCUGCUUGCAGCUCGUGAGAAGAAAGUCUUCUUGCCAGAUUCUGAGGAAGAGAAAUUUGAGAAGAAGGGCACCCCCUAAAAGAGAAAGCACAAAAGCUCUGGACCAGAACCUGUGAUUUUGAAGGACAUACCCCCAGCCCAAUGCUUGCAGAACUCACUGGACUUCUUGAAUAAAAGGAAAAUGCAGGUUUCUAGAUCAUCAUCAGUUUUGGACAACCCCAACCAGGCAUUACAGUCUCCUUUCGAAAUGUGGCUUGUUAAGUAAGACGUGAGAUGUUAACAGAGCAUAUGUUAUUGUUUCAAUAGUAAUGAACUGAGAUACCUUUUCCCAAUGCUGUGCAACUAAUUAUAUCGACUUAUUG